UGAAGUGGGUGUGUAACAGAA
rnacentral:piRNA from 1 species